rnacentral:rRNA from 1 species
UACAGAGGGUGCAAGCGUUUAAUCGGAAUUACUGGGCGUAAAGCGUGCGUAGACGGUUAUGUAAGUCAGAUGUGAAAGCCCCGGGCUCAACCUGGGAAUUGCAUUUGAGACUGUGUAGCUAGGGUGCGGAAGAGGGAAGCGGAAUUUCCGGUGUAGCGGUGAAAUGCGUAGAUAUCGGAAGGAACACCAGUGGCGAAAAGCGGCUUCCUGGUCCAGCACCGACGUCAGGCACGAAAGCGUGGGGGAGCAAACAGG